AAGGGCUUUUGUCUUUGUUGAUGACCUAAACAUGCCUGCCAAGGAGAAAUAUGGUGCCCAGCCUCCCAUUGAACUGCUGCAGCAAUGGAUUGACCACGGCUACUGGCUUGACAGCUUUACACGGCAGUCUCAGCCUGUGAUCCCUCAGUGCUUUUCAGAGAGCAGCAUAAAAGUUGGCAGGUAGGAAGUCCCAAGAAAAUCAUGCCCUUGUGUUUGGAUUAUCUGUCAGCCCCUACUCCCUAAGAACUUGUGAACCAGUUUUGACACAGC